UUUCCGUAGGUGAACCUGCGGGAGGAUCAUUAAAGUUAUAGUCCCCCGGCCCCUCCGGGCUGGGGUCUUCUAUACCACCCUUUGUUUAUUACACCUUUGUUGCUUUGGCAGGCCUGCCCUCGGGCUGCUGGCUCCGGCCGGCUCGUGCCUGCCAGAGGACCUAAACUCUGUUUGUAUAUGAAGUCUGAGUACUAUAUAAUAGUUAAAACUUUCAACAACGGAUCUCUUGGUUCUG
rnacentral:misc_RNA from 1 species